AUGUUGAGCUGCAGAUUUGUAUCUUCUAUAGGAAUCUAAUGAGCUUUUUGAUUUUCUCUGGAAAAAAAUCGGCAGGCAGAGUUUAGAAUGAAGAUGAAUUGCAAUGAGAGUUUUGGAUGAGUAUCAGAACCAAAGGAAAUUAACAGGCUAAUACAGUAAAUGGCUGAUUUGACAUGUUUGCCGUUGCACAUUUUUUCCCCAUCCAUGUUUAAGUGUAACAAAGGAACACUUCUCUGACUUGCUUCUUGUUGGUGUGUUGAAGAAAUAGAGUGGCCUGGAUUGGUCCUUGAUAUGCAAUUACUUCACGGAGUACACAGGACUACAGCACGAGUAUUGGAGUCAUUAACUGAAGUGAUCAUCAUUAAAAAAGAGCACCAUUAGCCAAGCCUCCCAGCCAGCCAAAUGUGUGCCAGGGAAGGAAUGGUGUCUUUUCAUUAGGAGGGUAACAGUCUGAAGGCAAUACAGGACACACUGUUGAGUGCCACCAGACUUGGAAUUAAACAGGUAAGCA
rnacentral:lncRNA from 1 species